UCCAUUGCUCAGUUGGUAAAGCACAAAGCUCUUAACCUUGUGGACGUGGGUUCACGCCCUGCGAUGGAA
rnacentral:tRNA from 1 species